rnacentral:rRNA from 1 species
GAUGAACGCUGGCGGCGUGCCUAAUACAUGCAAGUCGAGCGAAUGGAUUGAGAGCUUGCUCUUAUGAAGUUAGCGGCGGACGGGUGAGUAACACGUGGGUAACCUGCCCAUAAGACUGGGAUAACUCCGGGAAACCGGGGCUAAUACCGGAUAACAUUUUGAACCGCAUGGUUCGAAAUUGAAAGGCGGCUUCGGCUGUCACUUAUGGAUGGACCCGGGUCGCAUUAGCUAGUUGGUGAGGUAACGGCUCACAAAGGCAACGAUGCGUAGCCGACCUGAGAGGGUGAUCGGCCACACUGGGACUGAGACACGGCCCAGACUCCUACGGGAGGCAGCAGUAGGGAAUCUUCCGCAAUGGACGAAAGUCUGACGGAGCAACGCCGCGUGAGUGAUGAAGGCUUUCGGGUCGUAAAACUCUGUUGUUAGGGAAGAACAAGUGCUAGUUGAAUAAGCUGGCACCUUGACGGUACCUAACCAGAAAGCCACGGCUAACUACGUGCCAGCCGCCGCCGUAA